UCCAGACUCCUACGGGAGGCAGCAGUGGGGGAUAUUGCACAAUGGGGGGAACCCUGAUGCAGCGACGCCGCGUGGGUGAAGAAGCGCCUCGGCGCGUAAAGCCCUGUCAGCAGGGAAGAAAAUGACGGUACCUGAAGAAGAAGCCCCGGCUAACUACGUGCCAGCAGCCGCGGUAAUACGUAGGGGGCAAGCGUUAUCCGGAUUUACUGGGUGUAAAGGGAGCGUAGACGGCGUCGCAAGUCUGAAGUGAAAGCCCGUGGCUCAACCGCGGAACCGCUUUGGAAACUGCGAGGCUGGAGUGCUGGAGAGGUAAGCGGAAUUCCUGGUGUAGCGGUGAAAUGCGUAGAUAUCAGGAGGAGCACCGGUGGCGAAGGCGGCUUACUGGACUGUAACUGACGUUGAGGCUCGAAAGCGUGGGGAGCAAACAGGAUUAGAUACCCUCGUAGG
rnacentral:rRNA from 1 species